AGGCAGACCGCGAACCCGUGUUAAACGCUGUCGGGCGCCGCUGCUCCGUGGGGCGUGCCCCGGCCCCACCCCCCGGCGAGCGCUCGCGAGCGUCGGGCGGGCUAACGAACCCCGGCUCGGAACGCGCCAAGGAACACCGAAACGAUGGGCCCCGUCCCCCCUCGCCCCGUCCGCGGUGCGCCGGGCGGGGGGCGGCCUCAACUCUGCAUCAAUUGUCGUCUGAUUGUCAUUGAUAAAUCACUCGAAUCUCAUCGAUGAUGCAUUGGAGAACGCAGCGAAAUGCGAUACUUGGUGUGAAUUGCAGAAUCCCGUGAACCAUCGAGUCUUUGAACGCAAGUCGCGCCCGAAGCCAUUAGGCCGAGGGCACGUCUGCCUGGGCGUCACGCAUCUCGUCGCCCCCCCUCCCCCGCCCCCACCGCGGGGCGGCCCGGGGCGGGGGGCGGACAUUGGCCUCCCGGGCGCUCUCGCGCGCGGCCGGCCCAAAUGAGAUCCCCCGGUGACGCGCGUCGCGGCCAGUGGUGGUUGAACGCUCAGCCCGCGCGCUGUCCCCGCGCUCCGCGCCGUCGUCCGGUCGGGCAUCGGGAACGACCCUCGCGGCGCCUCCGUGCGCCCUCCGACCGCGACCCCAGGUCAGGC
rnacentral:rRNA from 1 species